AGUAUAAUGCUUAAACUUUUCUACGCGGUUUUGAUCGUGAAAAAAACAAUUAUAAAUACUGAAGGAGCAAUUAAUUGGUACACAGUUUAAUUAAAAAAAAAAAUUGAAAUCACUCACAAUGAUCAGGUAUAAUUUUUUCUAAUAAAGUACGUAGGUACUUAACGAAUGUUCACGAUUGACUUCCACGGUGAAGGAAUAACAUCGUGUAAUAAAAAUCAAACUCACAAAAAUGAGGAUUUGCGUAUUUACUGGCAGUAGGACCUCUUGUGAGUCCGCACAGGGUUUCCCACAAAGAGCAUAUCAAGUCUAAAACUGAAAGCAGUGUUCUAUUAGGAUAAUCGGUUCCACCAAUAAAAAAAGAAUGUCUUCUUACGGGGAUGGCGAAGAUCAAACUGCUCUGACGUCCAACAACACCGUCGAGGGUCGCACGCAUAUCAGCCAACUCCUCUCGCACACGCACGCUCCCCAUCCGUAGGAAAAGCCUGCCGGACCCGAAGGUAGUGCUGUUAGGCCACAGGCGGCUGGCGUCAGUCUUUUUAAAAAACACAAAGCCUUUUCUACAACAAUGUUUUAUUCAAAAAAUCUUCACAAUAAAUAUUUCUUUAACACCUCUG